rnacentral:rRNA from 1 species
UACAGAGGUCUCAAGCGUUUGUUCGGAUUCAUUGGGCGUAAAGGGUGCGUAGGCGGCGCGGUAAGUCGGGUGUGAAAUCGUUGAGCUUAACUCCGAAACUGCAUUCGAUACUGCCGUGCUUGAGGACUGGAGAGGAGACUGGAAUUUACGGUGUAGCGGUGAAAUGCGUAGAUAUCGUAAGGAAGACCAGUGGCGAAGGCGGGUCUCUGGACAGUUCCUGACGCUGAGGCACGAAGGCCAGGGGGAGCAAACGGG